rnacentral:rRNA from 1 species
UACGUAGGGUGCAAGCGUUAAUCGGAAUUACUGGGCGUAAAGCGUGCGCAGGCGGUUUUGUAAGUCUGUCGUGAAAGCCCCGGGCUUAACCUGGGAAUUGCGAUGGAGACUGCAGGGCUUGAAUCUGGCAGAGGGGGGUAGAAUUCCACGUGUAGCAGUGAAAUGCGUAGAGAUGUGGAGGAACACCGAUGGCGAAGGCAGCCCCCUGGGUCAAGAUUGACGCUCAUGCACGAAAGCGUGGGGAGCAAACAGG